UUGCCAGAAGUUACACUGUAACGAAAAGUAAAAUACAACCAGAAGGCUACUCCAGGGGUGCUGAAUCCAAUGGGAGUGGUGGGCCUCUUUCCCUGUCUGCUGUCCACCUAAAAAGUUUUACUAAGACAGAAGAGGUAGAGACUGAAGCAAAGACGCCUAUUCAGCCAACCUCAAAACAAGGAGAGAUCAAGGAGGACAGGACCUUCAGCCACAGGUUCCAGGGAGAGAGAGAGACUCCACCAGCCACAGCUGUUUCCAGAAUAGAAGACAAAGGAGCCAGAAGCCAAGGAAGACUCCCUGAGCUGAAGCAGCAGAGAUGGGAUUCCAGCGAUAAGGACGACAGCCCUGCUGUCAUUUGAACUGUAGCCAGCUGAGGACCUCUGACUUCCGGACCAGGAGAAGAUAAUGCACAUUGUUUUCAGUUUCUGCUUGCUAGAGCAGCAAACCAAAUGAACGCUAAACCUAGAGAUUGCCAGUGAUGGGGGUGGGCUACCGUGUGACAUAUGUCCACCGUGACAUGUGUGAAGUGGCUCAGAAGUGCCACUGGCAGAGGUCAGGAGCAGGCGGGCCAUGAAGGAGAACUGGCCUAGAUUGCCGAGAAUGGCUGUGGAAACAGGCUGUGGCAAGUUCACUUGCGGGGAGGCAGAGGGAAGCGAGCCCCCGCCCCCAUCACCUUAGGAAAUCCAGAGUUGUGUUAUCAGGGAUCAGUGGAAAGACAAGGCCUGGGGUUCUGCUGGUGAACCUCUCUUGGAAAGGAGUGAGUUAGAGGAACGUGGAGGGAAGGGACAUGGUCUCAGGACACUGAUCUGUGUCUGUGACUGGGGGGUAAAGUAUUCAGGUGAUGAAGCUGAGGACCUUAAAAGGAAAUGCUGAAGGUGUGACCUGGCUCUGCUGGAGGUGUAACCUGGUUCUCCCUGCCACCUGCAUUAAUGCGGAGAAAAGAAAGACAGAGGGCGGCACUGUCAUCAGAAAGUAAAAGUGACAGGUGAGGCCCAGACCACAGGGAGUACUCAACACCCAGUCAGGAAAGUCUGCUGUGCCCUGGCUGUGUAGGACAACCUUCUGUUAGCAUAUCAAAGGACUAAAAGGCCAGAGCACCCAGCAGCAACAGAGAGAGGGCUCUUUGAAGAGAGCAGGCUGUGGCUGGCAGGCUCUCACUCCCCACCCAUCUGCAUCCCCUUGAUCCAUACCACAAGCAAAAGCUCUAUCCCGAGAUCCCAGCAGCAGCAGCAGCAGCAGCAGCAGCAGCAGCAGCACCAACACCACCAGGACAAGGAAGAAGAUACAGGGGCUGAGCACAGAUGGAGGAGCAGGACCCAGUUCUGAGCUGGGGCUCUGAGUUGCUUUCCCAAACUCAUCUCCAGGGGCCAGGCAUUGGUGGUGGAAGGCGGGGCGACUUUGAGGCUGCAGCCAGAAAGGGCUGGGACAAACACAUGAGGAGUAUCCAGCCUGCAGGGGUCUGUACUGGCACCUCGGCUACUUUCUCAUAUUACUGGACUGCCUUCCAAACAGAUCUGAGAUUGGUAGGAAACUCACGCCUUGCUUUUCCCCUCUUCUGAAAUCUGAAGCUCCAAGACCAGCCACCCAGUUGCUUGUUGUUGCUAAAAUUCCUUCCUUCAGGUACCAAGGACAAAUCAGGGCAUGAUUCCACAAGCGUUCACUCCAGGGAACCAGUGAAGUUCCUGGGCUUCCUUACAGAGCUUAGGUAACACCACCACACCGCUGGCAGCUCUGAUCACCCAUCCUGGCCUGACCACACCACAAAGGGUGACCGUCCCUCUCUCUACUACAAAAGGUGACUAGCAGCCCAGAAGUCACCACCAAAGUAGGCACCAAAUUGGUGACAUGGGCCACUGUUGACUCUGUACCUCAGUUCCCCAAGUGUGUGUGCACAGACAUCAGGAAUGUGGAGAAGCAGCCUGGCCACCCCGCCUUGCUCCUUUGGCUUCACACUUGGUGUUCCAGGAACACAAAAGCAGCCAGGGAGGCAGGGAAAUGAGUUGAGUUGCUGGGUUGCUACCAACCCCACGCGAGAAACCAGCAAAGUCUCAGGAUAUCACAUCAGCAGUGUUACAAAAUCCUCUGGUGACCAAGAUCAGGAUGCAUCACACACUUGGCCUUGAUGAAGAAAGUGGUUCCGCCCGUCAAAGUGAAACUGCUUCUUCAUGCCCUUCGGGGAUGUGUGCUUUGGCCACGCGUCUGUGUCUAAUCCAGAAACAUCAAGAGAUGUGGGGAAAAAAAACUGACCAAUUCUUUGUUCUCCCCUAUACACCAAGGGCAGCAGUUAAACCCAGCAAAGAAGCAGAACUCUGUCCAAGACUGGGAAAGGAGUCCACGGACUGACUGGUCUUGAUUCUCUGGGAUUGUAUUCAUGGGUGCUCAGUGCCAGGCAAGUGGGCAGCCUGAGAAAAAUCAGACGCUUCACCUACAACCUGGAGUGAAGUCAGAGGAAUGACGUGGAAACUAGGAACCAGUGCAUUCCCCACAAGGGCUAAGGAAGAAACAGGGAAGAGUGGCUGCCUGUGUGGGGGGGGGUAUAUGGGGACAGCAGAGAAGGCGCCAGAGACCACCACUAACUCAGUUUUCAUCAGAGAGUGCAUUACUAGCCCCGACAGAUUGAUAUGCCCAAAACAAGAAGUCAGAGAUUAGGAGCAAGACUUUUGAAUACAUCAGAACUUGGAGUUUCAGAUUUCAGAAACCUCAUUCCACGAAACCAUACCAUUUCCGGGUUUGUUUGUUCAUUUGUUUGUUUACUUAAAAUAUCUUAUUUCUUUAUCAUGGAAAAGGAAGAAAAAACGGAACAAACCAGUACUAACCCAUAGUCCAAAACGAAGAUGGACCUACCGGAAAAAUCACAAAUAGUACACGCACUAAAAAUAAUCGACUACCUAUCUUAAAAAUGCCAGUACAGGAAGCUAUUCCACACACAUGACUUGCGCACCAGCCAAGACCUAGCAGUGGGUAAAUAACCCUGAGUCGCAGAGGCCGGGCGAUUGGAGCUCGGCUUCCCAGUUGCCUUACAUCCAGGGGUGCCGAUCCAACACUCUCUGCCUCAGUUUUCUCGUUUAUAAGGGGACCAAUAAUAGCAGCUCUGCUCGACACCCCAAGCUGCUUGGCACACCAAAGGAGAGUACCCUGAGGGGGACACUAAAACACCUAAAAUGAGGACCAGAGAUCUCUUCCAGGAUAACCUGGAUCUCCGCGAAGACUCACGGAGUGGGCUGAACUGGAGAUUUUCCCAAUCAGCAAAGCAGGACAAGUGGGGACAGAGGAGCAGUGAACGCCACAGUCGGAAGUGGAGACCCUGCCUGGAGGCAACUCCUCGCCCCCGGGACCCCGAAGACAGACUAUACCGGCGGCGCCGCCCUCACCUGCGGUGUCCCAAAUGGAGAUGUUGAAGGAGCGCCACUGCUUCAGGUAGAAGGCGCCGCCCACGGUGCUGACCGUGUCCGGGAAGCGGCGCUCCAUGUAGCGCUGAAGCAAAGACGUCUUGCCCACGUUCAUGUCCCCCAGCAGCACGAUCUUCCCGUCCGGCUUCCGCAUGGUAGCGGAGGAGGUGGCUCCUGCGCCCCUUGGUCACCGGCCCAGGGCGCCAGGGGUAGCGGACCCCGAGCUCUCAAAGACCCCGGACUCCAGUGGCCCAGACCCAAGGUCGGGACGCGCUGAUGUGCCAAAGAGGAAGCCCGCUAAGGCUCUCCCGGCCAGUGUGAACUCAACCCAGAGUCCCACGUGGGGUUCCCGGCCACCACGCCCACUCCCACGCCCCCUAGGCCGCCCCGGCCCCGCCUUCUUUUUUCAAGCCCCUUCCUCAGUGCCCUAACACCUCUAUCACGCCCCUAUUCUUUCCCAUCCCUUCCCAACUAAGUUCUUGCUCCCCUGCUAAACCUCAGCCCCACGUCCACCCAUUCUUCCCCUUUCCUCCUCAUUCAUGCUCCGUCCUGCGUCCCUGCAAUCCCAAAUCCCGUCCCCCACAUCAUUUCCCUCCCGGUCCCAGAGCCCUGGCCCCUUCCCCCACAGACCCCACUCCUUCCCAUCGCUCCUCCUCCAAGCCCCUCUCCAGUUCCGCCCCCACCCUCUUUCCUGAAACCCCUCUCCCGGGCCCAGACUACGCCACCACCCCUUCACGUCCCCAUCCCCCACCCCUCUCUAGCAGGUCACGUACCGCUCAAUCCCCACCUUGGAACUUGUGUACUGCCAAAUUUGGAGCUUAGGACCUGGGAAGGACCGAAGGUGAAAGUUCCAGAGCGCCUUCCUUCGGACACUCGCGUUCCUCAUCAGCCCGGGUUGGCGCAGAGCAGCCCUGAAGUUGGUGACCCGUGACUCGGCGAGCGAUGUGUGUCUGGUCCCAGGCACCUUCGGCUCGGUUUCACUUCUCCGCCCCUGCCCACUGCUCCUCGGUGCACCUUGGUUGCACUCACACAGGUGACCCUGGAGAGUUUACCUGACUGGGAAUGUCCCUUAGAAGACUGCUGAGGUUGAGGGAGAACACGGAGGGAGUGAGGACACCAGGGGAGACCUGCUAGGUAGGUUUGCUUUUUACUUCUGCAUCAAACCUUUUGUGCGGUAAAAGGAAAACUUGACUUUGCACUUGGGGUGACAGUUAGCGAAGACUUUCCUCCCUCCUUGAAAUGCUUUCAAAAUCCUUCCUCCUGUGGCUCUAGCCUGCAGGGAGGCGGACGGGUGACCCUGGGUCAGGUAAAGCCCAGCGGGUCCUGUUUUUUGAAAGAAGAGGCGACACUCCCUCUGCUAGUGUGAGAUUCCACUGAGACAAGAACGCACAGCCUUGGGCGCCCGUGCCCGCUGCGCUGAGAUCAGCGGUCUUGGGAAAGUGAUGGAAGGGUACGCUCUGGGGCGUGGAAGGCUCACCAGCGUGUGAAACCGGCUCCCUUGAGCCCCUGGCUCCUGCUUGCCAUCCCUACCCGCCCAGUGGAAUUUAAGUUACUUCUAAUUGGUUGAGGAUUUGUUGCUAUAAAGUUACCGGGCCGGCUAGGGCAGUAACCGGCCGCCCAGGGGCUUAGGGAUGGAAAUGGGCGGGGUCUGUGUAAACGCCUAAACCAAGGCCAAAAGAUAGCAAACUUUCAGGAAUCGCCACCCCCACCUCCCUGCCUCACCCCUUCAGCCAGGGCUACAGAGAGAAACCCUGUCUUGAAAACAAAACAAAAAACAGGUACGUAGAGAUAGAGCUGAUCACUGUCCUCAUGGUGUGUAACAAGAGUUGGUCUAUCCGUGGCUUUGCUUUUAUUUUCUACCAUGGAUGUGUAACAUAAGAUGUUAUUUCUAUCUUUGUACAUAUGGCUAUGCAUAGACAGAAGACAAAUGAUCAAUAUGUUUUGUUUGAGCCAGGCAUAGUAAGUAGCACAUUUACUACCAGUACAUGGAGGACCACAGCGAGUUCAAGGUCAGCCUCUGUUUAAAACCUCAGACCGAAGAGGAACAUUAAAAAGAAAACCAGGAACAUCCUUUGGGCUGAAACUUAUCAAAGCUUAUAUGAAAUUUUCUCCCCAAAACUCCCUGUGUUGGAUGCUCAGUGCCCAGUUGGUAAAUCCAAGAGACAAUGGGCGGGAAGAAAGGGGUGUAAGAGCCCUCUGAAGCCGGCUCCUUCCCAGACACCUUUGAGACAGGAUUAUCAAUGUAUCAGCUUCCUCUGAUGCAUUGGCAUAAUGCCUCAUAUACAAAUGGCAUAAUGGAUUCUCAGUUACACCCUGGUAGGCAGAGAGUUAUAGUUUUUAAAGGAUGCCCAUUUCAAGGGCUGUGGUGGCUGGGUCAAAAACAAGCCAGCAUUGGCCUUUCAGUGAAGGGUCAAGAGCCACGAGCUCAUAAGAUUAAAGUUCAACUGCUAAGGAGGGCUCUAAGCUGUCCACAAAGCUAAGGGGUCAAGGUCCCUGGAGCUAUAAUUAGCUAUUCCUUCUUUGCUGACUCUAACUGAACUGGAUGGUAAACCCACAAUAAUAGGUGGUGUUGGUUAUUCCUGCCUAUCUAAAGCCAACCCAAGGAGUCUUGGGCACACCCAGCAGCUCUCUGUGGUUAAACCAGACCAGACCAGCUCAUUUAACACAUCUGUGACGUGCAAAAGCGUGGUUGUCUUUUCACUUGUUCUCUAUCCAAAAUGCAGCUUUCUCUGUCUGUCCGUCCUUCUAUCUCCUCCCUCUGGCACCUGCUGAUUCUCAGAACUGUCCGUCCUUCUAUCUCCUCCCUCUGGCACCUGCUGAUUCUCAGAACUGUCCGUUCCUGACUCCAGCAUUUGUCCUUGUCUUCCCUUCUGCGUCUGUUUCUAGACUUCCUUUAUCAGCAAGACCAAGAAUGUGCCCCGAUAACACACCAUUGGGAGGUGACUGGAUCCUGGGUAAACUGGGAACUGAAGUUCCCAGGGAAAAAAAAAAAGUGGCACCCCUGUCAGGCCAAGGACAAAUGACUGAGCCGCUUGCUCACGGAGAGUUAAAAUGUUGCAGACCAGAGCCAGAGCCAGAUUAUCUUGGACUAUUUUAGUCCCUUUGAAAGCCACUCCUGUGUCUGACCUAACAGCCUUGUGACUUCCAAAACUUUUAAAAUGUAGUCUCAGCAUGCUAUCAAAUGGUGCCGGAGGCCUUAGUGGACGGGAGAUUUUCCUCUCCUUGCUGUAAUACCCCUACCCCACGCCCUGUGUUUUCCCAACCCCUCUGGUCCCUAUACCUUGUGGUCCCCACCCCCUGUGGUGCCCAAUGCUUGGAUUUGUGACUUCCUUUGUAACUAAUAAAAUGUCUUACAGUUCCAGCAACCUACAUCUGUGUUCCUGGGCCACCAUCACUCACAUUUGGCUCGAGUAAGCUAUCUUGCUCCCUUAGUGGUGAGAGUGUGUUUUUGCAUUCACAGGGCUCUGAACUAAUCAGUGGGCAGAUCCCUUGGCGGACUUAACACCCUGGCAGUAUUGGGAGGCAGGGCCUAGUGGAAGGAAAUAGAUCUGUAGGUAACUAAAAGGCUACACCUUGUCAGGUCCCUUCCCCUUCCCAUGAGCUGAGCAGCUCUGCCCUGGUCUUCCACCACGCUGUGCCACCCUGCACAGACCACAGUAAAAGGCCAACUGACCGUGGUGAGGCUGAGCCAAAACAAGUCCUUCCUCCUUAGGCUUCCUAGGUCCUCUGUCACGUGACGAAAAGCUGGUAAAGUAAUGUCUCCUUCAGUGUGACACCCUCACCGCCAUUGUGAACUGCUGAUACAGUACCACUAACUGAAGCCUGGCUUAUGGGAGGGCUCAUCUGUACAUUCUGUGGGUCUGCACAAAUGCGUGGCGAAAGGCCGCGUGUGUUAGCUGAGUUCUCAUCGCUGGCAGAACACCUGACACAGACAACUGAAAGAAGGAAAAGCUAUCUGAGCUUGUGGUUUCAGUCUGUGGCCUCGUGGCUCUGUUGCUGGAAGUCCAUGGCAAGGCACUAGCAUCUCAGAGGAAGGGCGCUGUAGAGGGCAGCAGUCGCCUCAUAAAGCUGACGAGAUGAAAAAGGGUUCUAUGGCUGAAAACCACCCUUCAGACACACCCCAGUGUCCACAGAGGCCCCACCACCCAAAGCUCCAUCAUUUCCCAACAGCCUGUUUGAAUAUUGAAUCCAUCAGUAGACUGAGCCAUUGACUAGGUCAGAGCCCCGGUGAUCUGGUUGGCCUCGGAGUCAUCCUCGCAGGCUCACAGUCACCUGAGAAUCUCUCCAUCCAUCCAGUCAGUCUGACUGCCAAGCGUAACCAUCUAGUGCAUCGCAGACCCAUGCGGAAAGCGCGAUGGUUCUAAGGCUGCACAUGCGCUGUGAUGCGGAAAGCGCGAUGGUUCUAAGGCUGCACAUGCGCUGUGCGUUCAGCCCGCCCUCGCCAGCAGUCAUCGCUCUGAUUCUUCCUGAAUGUUGUAUUGGAGAAAUCACAGCACGCAGAGACUGCACAUUGACUUCCUUCUCUUACAGGAGAACUUUUAAAUCUUUUGUAUUUACCCACGCUAUCCAGCAGUCAUUCAGCGUAUUCUUUUCUUAACGCUAUGUGGCAUAUGUUUGGAUGUGCACUGAAAACUACGGUCUGUGAAUACAGACGGGGCAAUAACAGUCAUCCACAGGAAAAUGAACCAAAGGGGCGUAGUUCGGCUCACCUCACAACACUGGGGUUUGUUGUGUGUGUAUAACUAUUAACGUAUAGAGAUAUUUUGACUGCAUCUAUGUCUGCCUGGUGCCCAUGGAGAGCAGAAGACAGCUUUGGAUCCCCUGGAACUGGAGUUACAGAUGGUUGUGAGCCACUAUGUGUGUGCUGGAAUUUGAACCUGGGUCCCCUGCAAGACAGCAGAGCUCUUAACAAGUGAGUCGUUUCUCCAGUCUCGCGAUGUUUGAAUUUGUUACAGGCAGCUAUGUUAAUAGUUAGGGCACUAUUGAUCUCUGCUAGUCCCUGCCCUGUGGCCAGAACAGGGCCAGGCAGACACCCAAGCUGAACUGUCACACAUGGGAUGAAGCCAGCCAAGGGUUGCAGGCUCCCUGGGUGCAACAUGAGGUUCUCUGCCAGGGGAAUACCAUGGCCACCAUAUCUAAGGGAAAAGGGGCCGGAUUUUUGCAUCUCAUUUUGUAAUUUACUCCCAAGGCUUAAAGAUACAGACACUUUUAGGUUAUACAAGAGAAAUAAAUGUGUUUUUAUCUCCCAAGUGUUUGCUACAAUUUUAGACUGUGACCUCAGCAGCUGGGGGAAUAAACACGGUCAUUCACAGGGCCAGGAAGAGCCUACGGCAACUCUCAGUCUGCUGUCUCUGAAGAAAGCCACCAUGCCACCAAAACUUCAGCUGUGGCUUCCUCCUUGAUGCUGGGGAUUCCUCUGCGGGGCAGCUCUGAAAUAUCUGGAUGUUGGAAACAGAGGUACUCGCCAGGCUUCAGGCCCCCAUGCAUGCUAAGCAAACGCUCUACCACUGAGCUACACCCCAACCUGACCACCUAUUUUGUUCAUAAGUAAACAGAUCCAGGAAGCCUCCCUCGAGGUUCUGCACAGAUGUGACAUCCAGGGAGGGGUCUGCAGUCUGACUGCUUCUGGCCUGGACUGAACCAGUUAUUGACUUGACUGCUAUCCAAACCCUGUAAGAACCAAGUUUUAAUGCUCACUUCUAAUAAUCCAUACUUCAAACUGCUGAUAUGGAUGUCAACAUGAACCUCACAUAAUUUAGGAGCUAUGUAUGACCAGAGUUUAAUUCUCCAAAAGUCACUGGCCGCUGCACCAAGUCUUGAGUUUAAAAAUGGGAUGGCCAGGGUUGGAGGGAUGGCUCAGAGGUUUGUCUGUCUUCUCUGGUGAGGCGACUCUUUAAGUCUUUCCACAGACAGUGGUAUUUUUGUAAAGACCCCACGCCCUCAGGUGCAGAUGCUAUCAACGUGCAGCCCUGUGUGAAAGCCACCAGCACAUUAGCCCGAGUGAGCCGAAUCAGAAAUACGGUGGCUUCUUGCGCCCCCUACUGGUGGUGAUGGUCAGUACCUUCUCUAGCCUGUUGGAAGGAGCUGAUCCAGAGGGUCCUCUCUCACAGCAGGAAGCCGGCCAGGAGUGUGAGUGUGGCGUGACAUGAAGACCUCGACCCUUCCCUCACCCAAGCCCUCCUGCAGUGAGGUGGCUAGCUUUCCGUUUGCUCUUCCCCAGGAUCCAAUGAUGUCACACAGGUGAUUCCAUCAGAUGCCUUUGGGGCAGGGAUCCAAGGGAAGGACCCCCUCCUGGAGAUGGUUUUUGGAGCUGUCUCAGGGCCACCUGGCUGAAAUGUGUAAUGGUCCUGCUGUGUACCACUGGCCAGGCAGGAUCUAAGCACAUGGAAGCCGGGCCGGUGGGAGGAGGAUAGGAAAAUAGAGACGUCUUCCACACAGUAUCACCAAAGGCAACGAGGCAGACCUGCAGUUUGGCUGCCAACUGGGGACUGAUUUGGGUUCCCAAGUCAUUAAAAUCCUACCCUAAUACCUCAUAGCCUGUCAGCUUAUGGGUAAGUAGGGUCAUUUCAUAUGUAAUCCGUUAAGACCAUACAAAGCAGCCACAUACCACGACUGGUGUAGGAGGGGAAUAUGACCCCUGAGAUGAUAUAAAGAGAAAUACAGAGAGGCAGGGACAGAAACUGGGGAAACCCCAGGGACACCUCACCUCCAGGGGCUGCACGAAGAACCAUGGUCUUCUGUGGACUUCUGAAGCAGACACCUUGACUCUUGUUUCUAGUCACGUAGCUGUCCAGCCUGAGGAGGGCAGCCCAGGCUCUCCUUCAUGGACAUUGCUCUGGACCCUGGUGACCCACCCGCUUCCCAGGGGUCAGCGCUUUCCUGAGUGAUAGCCCAGCUUUGUAGUUUGUGGGGUUUUCUUUUUUCUGUUUGUUUGUUUGUCUUUAAAAACACAAUAAAAGAGAUUUCUUCUCUUCCCAGUGUACUAGUGGCUUUCUAUUGCCACGACAAGACACCAUGGCCAAGGCAGCUUAUAAGAGAAAGCAUUUAAUCUGGGGUCUGUUGUGGCCAGGCUGUUCUCACCCAAGAGAAGGAGACCAGAUGAACUCUUUGUGAAUUUGAAGUUUUUAUUGAGCCAUCCAGACCUGCCAGGAGCACUCACUCCUGUGACUACAAGAUGACCUCGAACAGGAGGUAUAGAAAGGUCAAAACCACAGGUUUGGUACAUUUCGUUGGUGUGGCAGCUAGCAAGCAUGAACUUUUAAUAAGAAUAGGGCACAGCCGUGUCAUCGCGAUGCUUCUGUCUGAUCCAGAGGGGAGCAGGAAGCCUUGCAGUCACAGAAGCAGAGCAACAACAGAUAAAGAACAUUGGAAUGGAUGGGAAAUGACAGAAAUGUCCUGGGUUCUACUGCAGGGGUGACCUGUGAAGAGCCAGCAGCCGGUGAGGUGUAUAACCAUUUAUCACCUGAGAUUAAGAGCCUGCCCCCUACCCUGGCCUUGCUUGGCAGCAGCUUUCUCCAGGCCACACAGACCUGUUUCUCCAUUACCUUUCUCAUGGCUUGUCUAAACAGGAAAUAAGAAUUUCUCAGACAUUCGGUAAGUGGCACCGUAACCAUGAAUUUGCCCUUAUGCAGACUUGUUUAGUUUUGCAAAGAAAACUAACUUGUUGGAACGGCAAUGUCUGUCAUCUCAGAAACCCUUGAAUAUCCACACUUAAAGCACUUCGUUUUACCUGCAAACAGAAUUUAAGAGCCUCAAUAAUGAGUUCACUGCAUUACAUGGAAGAUGCCACCAGGGGUGUGUAUGUGUGCACUUUUUACCGUAACACAAGGGUACUGUGAGGGCAUGAGAAAAGUCCUCACACUUCAUCUCCACUCGCUUUCCAGUUUGCCUUAGGUCACGGCUUAUGAGCCUCUGCCAUGG